AGCAGUGCUCUGGGACAGUCACAGGCAGACAUUCAACAUCAGUUAGAGACAGCGGGGGCUGAGUCAGCCUUAGGAGUGCUCGGCGAACCUUCUGCCUAAGAUCUGCGGAGUCUGCCAGACAAUCUAGAAACUGAAGUUCAGUGAGUUUGAUGGCUGGACCACAGCCAUGCUUCUAGCAAAUGAUGAAGCCAGCUCUGAAAUCCAGGACUCCUCAUUCCAAGACUCCUUCUUUUUCAGCCCCAUCACCCCUGUAAAUUGCCUGAUUCUGCCAGAAGAUACUGGACCCUUCACCUACAUCUCCAGUCAUGAGACUUCCCUCCUACAGGGAGGCUUUUGUUUAGCUGGGCUGAAGUGCUGAGAAAGGGCCCCGGUGGCAGAGGGUCCCAAACACAUGUUAGUGAAAGAACAGCUUCCAUGGACUGCUGAGCAAGUGCUGGGUUCAUUCAUACAACAAUCCUGUCCAGCCUACUCCAAUGCAGUAUGAAAUUCUGGGACCUCCAAGGGAGCAAAUUACACAUAUACACAGGACCACAGUAGCCCUGAUUCACCCAAGAAUCUCCACUGCCACAAAAUGAGGAUACAACAAGGGGAGGACAAGUCAAUAAACAUUUCUCUAGCACUGGGUUAGGAGUCUUCUGUGUGUUAUUGAACUGUGAGAAGGCGUGUAAGAAAGAACAUGCCUUUCUUGUGAAAUGGAUUUUACGAUCUCCACUAUAGAGCUGAAGACCUCCAGGCUCACACCUGUGACAAAUUGGCCAGACUUUUCUGGCACCAAGGACUGCCCUCUUUCAUCAAGUUACCCAGCAGACAAUCAAAGGUGUCAGCUUUCUUCACCAAGGUUUGAUAAUGUUCUAGGGCCCUGGGGAGAGCAAGAGGAGCCUCCGGUAAAAUUGUGAAAUGAGUGAGGUUUGGAUUGGACUCCUUAUAGCAAUCUUCUUCCUACUCGGACAUCCGGCAAGUCCCUUUGCUGACCUCCUUUCACCCCCAGGGCUACUGGCAGAGAAUCCCUGAAAACCAAAAGGGUUGAAGAUGUUAUCUUUUCUAGAGGACACUCAGAGAACAAAAAGGCUUAGAGCUUAAAUUGUGGCAUUUCAGGCUCUAAGAGGGGCAGUGUCUACAAACACCUUAAGUUGCGUUCCCAGCACUUCCCCAGAAGGCAAAAAGAAACUACCUGGAGCACGUUGGAUAUGGGGCUCUAGUUCUGAGACUGAAAAAUCCCAGUUCUCUGCUGAAGUUUGAGGCAUUUAGAACAGCUCCCCUCCCGACCCAAAGGAUGAUUUACUGCAUGGAAGGAGGCUCUUCAGUAUCAUGUGCACAGUGCCACAGCAUUGUAUCUGCCGUCACACCCCGUAUGUUCAGUGCGGCCAUGAGAAAUCAAGGCAUAGGACUGGUGAAGCAUGAGGCACAUGCCCUCCCAAAUUGGGAGUAAAACAAUGUCCCAGGCACCACUACUUUCUUAAACAUUGCUCUGAAAGUGCUAGUCAAUAUAUUUACACAAGGCCAGGUGCAGUGGCUCAUGCCUGUAAUCCCAGCACUUUGGGAGGCUGAGACAGGCAGAUCUCCUGAGGUCAGCAGUUCAAGACCAGCCUGGGCAACAUGGUGAAACCCUGUCUCUACUAAAAAUACAACAAUUAGCUGGGCAUGGUGGCAGAAACCUGUAAUCUCAGCUACUCGGGAGGCUGAGGCAGGAGAAUCGCUUGAACCUGGGAGGCGGAGGUUGCAGUGAGCCAAGAUCACGCCACUGCACUCCAGCCUCGGUGACCGAGUGAGACUCCAGUUUGUCUAAUAUAAAAAUAUGUAUAUAUAUAUAGUCUAAUAUAAAUAUAUAUUUUGUCUAAUAUAAGUAUAUAUUAUAUACAUUUUGUCUAAUGUAAAUAUAUAUAUUUUGUCUAAUAUAAAUAUAUAUAUUUUUGUCUAAUAGAAAUACAAAUAUAUUUUGUCUAAUAUAUAUAUUAGACAAAAGAGUGAAGAAAUAUAAUUUCAACAUUUUAAAAAGGAAGGAAACUCAUUGUUUGUAAGGGAUCUGAUCACAUCAUUGAAAUGUGCAAGAAAAUAAAAUUAUUGGAAAUACUGAA